UCUGGUUGAUCCUGCCAGUAGUGAUAUGCUUGUUUCAAAGAUUAAGCCAUGCAUGUCUAAGUAUAAGCGAACUUAUACAGUGAAACUGCGGAUGGCUCAUUAAAACAGUUUGAAUUUAUUUGAUGAAUGUAUGAGAAUACUACUUGGAUAACCGUAGUAAUUCUAGAGCUAAUACAUGCAACGACGCCCGACCGUUUCGCUACGGAAGGGCUGUAUUUAUUGGAUACCAAAACCAUCCUUCCCUCGGGAAGUUUUGUUUGAUGAUUCACAAUAACUGAUCGGAUCGCCACUGUGGUGGCGACAGGUCAUUCAACAUUCUGCCCUAUCAGCUUUCGAUGGUUGUGUAGUGGACAACCAUGGCCAUAACGGGUAACGGAGAAUCAGGGUUCGAUUCCGGUGAAGGAGCUUGAGAAUUGGCUACUACAUCUAAGGAAGGCAGCAGGCGCGCAAAUUACCCAAUCCCGAUUCGGGGAGGUAGUGACAAAAAAUAACAAUACCGGGCCUUUUUGGGCUUGGUAAUUGGAAUGAGGGAGAGUUAAACGGACCAUCGAGUAUCCAUUGGAGGGCAAGUCUGGUGCCAGCAGCUGCGGUAAUACCAGCUCCAAUAGCGUAUAUUAAAGUUGUUGCAGUUAAAAAGCUCGUAGUUGGACUUGUGUGCGCUGUCCUCGGGUGGCCUGCGCCCAAAAGGGCGUUUCGGUUCGGCCCCGGUGGCGCCUUGAAAUCUGCAGCUGGGGGGACGUUGGCCUUAACUGGUCGGCGACCGCACGCCGGCUGCUCGGUUACUGUGAGAAAAUUAGAGUGUUCAAGGCAGGCAUUGGGUGCAAUUGAAUACAUUAGCAUGGAAUAAUAAAAUAUGGCUCCUGCCGUAUUUUGUUGGUUUUGACUGGUGGGGGUAAUGAUUGAUAGGGACGGUUGGGGGUGCUAGUAUUGAGCGGCCAGAGGUGAAAUUCAUGGAUUCGCUCAAGACUAACUUAUGCGAAAGCAUUCACCAAGGACGUCCUCUUUAAUCAAGAACGAAAGUUGGGGGAUCGAAGACGAUCAGAUACCGUCGUAGUCUCAACCAUAAACUAUGUCGACUUGGGAUCGGCGGUAGUUUUUUCAUUAAGACACUGUCGGGACCACGGGAGAAAUCAAAGUGUCUGGACUCUGGGGGAAGUAUGGUCGCAAGGCUGAAACUUGAGGGAAUUGACGGAAGGGCACCACCAGGAGUGGAGCCUGCGGCUUAAUUUGACCCAACACGGGGAAACUUACCAGGUCCAGAGAUGUAGAGGAUUGACAGAUUGAAGCUCUUUCUUGAUCACUUCGGUGGUGGUGCAUGGCCGUUCUUAGUUGGUGGAGUGAUUUGUCUGGUUAAUUCCGUUAAC
rnacentral:rRNA from 1 species